rnacentral:rRNA from 4 species
AGACCCGAAACCCGGUGAUCUAGCCAUGGGCAGGUUGAAGGUUGGGUAACACUAACUGGAGGACCGAACCGACUAAUGUUGAAAAAUUAGCGGAUGACCUGUGGCUGGGGGUGAAAGGCCAAUCAAACCGGGAGAUAGCUGGUUCUCCCCGAAAGCUAUUUAGGUAGCGCCUCGUGAAUUCAUCUCCGGGGGUAGAGCACUGUUUCGGCUAGGGGGCCAUCCCGGCUUACCAACCCGAUGCAAACUGCGAAUACCGGAGAAUGUUAUCACGGGAGACACACGGCGGGUGCUAACGUCCGUCGUGAAGAGGGAAACAACCCAGACCGCCAGCUAAGGUCCCAAAGUCAUGGUUAAGUGGGAAACGAUGUGGGAAGGCCCAGACAGCCAGGAUGUUGGCUUAGAAGCAGCCAUCAUUUAAAGAAAGCGUAAUAGCUCACUGGUCGAGUCGGCCUGCGCGGAAGAUGUAACGGGGCUAAACCAUGCACCGAAGCUGCGGCAGCGACACUGUGUGUUGUUGGGUAGGGGAGCGUUCUGUAAGCCUGUGAAGGUGGCCUGUGAGGGUUGCUGGAGGUAUCAGAAGUGCGAAUGCUGACAUAAGUAACGAUAAAGCGGGUGAAAAGCCCGCUCGCCGGAAGACCAAGGGUUCCUGUCCAACGUUAAUCGGGGCAGGGUGAGUCGACCCCUAAGGCGAGGCCGAAAGGCGUAGUCGAUGGGAAACGGGUUAAUAUUCCCGUACUUGGUGUUACUGCGAAGGGGGGACGGAGAAGGCUAUGUUGGCCGGGCGACGGUUGUCCCGGUUUAAGCGUGUAGGUGUGUGUUCCAGGUAAAUCCGGUUCACUUUAACACUGAGGCGUGACGACGAGGCACUACGGUGCUGAAGCAACAAAUGCCCUGCUUCCAGGAAAAGCCUCUAAGCAUCAGGUAACAUCAAAUCGUACCCCAAACCGACACAGGUGGUCAGGUAGAGAAUACCAAGGCGCUUGAGAGAACUCGGGUGAAGGAACUAGGCAAAAUGGUGCCGUAACUUCGGGAGAAGGCACGCUGACACGUAGGUGAAGUGAUUUACUCAUGGAGCUGAAGUCAGUCGAAGAUACCAGCUGGCUGCAACUGUUUAUUAAAAACACAGCACUGUGCAAACACGAAAGUGGACGUAUACGGUGUGACGCCUGCCCGGUGCCGGAAGGUUAAUUGAUGGGGUCAGCGCAAGCGAAGCUCCUGAUCGAAGCCCCGGUAAACGGCGGCCGUAACUAUAACGGUCCUAAGGUAGCGAAAUUCCUUGUCGGGUAAGUUCCGACCUGCACGAAUGGCGUAAUGAUGGCCAGGCUGUCUCCACCCGAGACUCAGUGAAAUUGAACUCGCUGUGAAGAUGCAGUGUACCCGCGGCAAGACGGAAAGACCCCGUGAACCUUUACUAUAGCUUGACACUGAACAUUGAGCCUUGAUGUGUAGGAUAGGUGGGAGGCUUUGAAGUGUGGACGCCAGUCUGCAUGGAGCCGACCUUGAAAUACCACCCUUUAAUGUUUGAUGUUCUAACGUGGACCCGUAAUCCGGGUUGCGGACAGUGUCUGGUGGGUAGUUUGACUGGGGCGGUCUCCUCCUAAAGAGUAACGGAGGAGCACGAAGGUUGGCUAAUCCUGGUCGGACAUCAGGAGGUUAGUGCAAUGGCAUAAGCCAGCUUGACUGCGAGCGUGACGGCGCGAGCAGGUGCGAAAGCAGGUCAUAGUGAUCCGGUGGUUCUGAAUGGAAGGGCCAUCGCUCAACGGAUAAAAGGUACUCCGGGGAUAACAGGCUGAUACCGCCCAAGAGUUCAUAUCGACGGCGGUGUUUGGCACCUCGAUGUCGGCUCAUCACAUCCUGGGGCUGAAGUAGGUCCCAAGGGUAUGGCUGUUCGCCAUUUAAAGUGGUACGCGAGCUGGGUUUAGAACGUCGUGAGACAGUUCGGUCCCUAUCUGCCGUGGGCGCUGGAGAACUGAGGGGGGCUGCUCCUAGUACGAGAGGACCGGAGUGGACGCAUCACUGGUGUUCGGGUUGUCAUGCCAAUGGCACUGCCCGGUAGCUAAAUGCGGAAGAGAUAAGUGCUGAAAGCAUCUAAGCACGAAACUUGCCCCGA